CUUUGCCCCGUGUCACCCAGGCGGCCGGUUGCCCUCUCCAAAAUAACCAAAAGUAUUUCUUCUGUGUCCUUCCGAGCAAGUACUUUUCUCUCGUCUUUCUCUUUGUGGACAGAGGUCUUGUUUGUCUUUUCCAGGAGACACUGGAGGAGUCUUAAUAUUCAAAUCCCAAAGGGGAUAGAUUCUAAGAUGGCACCUGUGCUCCUGUCUGCUGAGGUCUCAGGCAGGGGAGGACCCAGAGGCUCAGAGGCAAGAUGUCGAUUCUCAAAGGGAUUUCCACCACAAAAGAUAGCUAAUGCCGACUGUCUUUCAUCUUGCCCCAGACUCCCGUCCUCAGCAGCUGAGCCCUGGUUCCUCUGUGAUGUGCUAAGAGAAAUAAAAGGCUCAGAAGUGAAUGAGCUUAGAGAUGAAAGAUUUGGUUCAAGUUCUAGCUCCUCCACGAUGUGACCUUGAAGGCUGACGGAAGAUGUUGUUAGGAUUUAAAGUCAGAAUGCGUG
rnacentral:lncRNA from 1 species